rnacentral:rRNA from 1 species
AGUGAACGCUGGCGGUAGGCCUAACACAUGCAAGUCGAACGGCAGCACAGUAAGAGCUUGCUCUUAUGGCUGGCGAGUGGCGGACGGGUGAGGAAUCCAACGGACUCUACUUUUUCGUGGGGGAUAACGUAGGGAAACUUACGCUAAUACCGCAUACUACCUACGGGUGAAAGCAGGGGAUCUUCGGACCUUGCGCGAUUGAAUGAGCCGAUGUCGGAUUAGCUAGUUGGCGGGGGAAAGGCCCACCAAGGCGACGAUCCGUAGCGGGUCUGUGAGGAUGAUCAGCCCCACUGGAACGGAGACACGGUCCAGACUCCUGUGGGAGGCAGCAGUGGGGAAUAGGGGACAAUGGGCGCAAGUCUGAUACAGCCAUAGCGAGUGGGUGAAUAAGGCCUUCGGGUGGUAAAGCCCUUUUGUUGGGAAAGAAACGCACUAGGCUAAUACCCCGCUGUGCUGACGGUACCCAAAGAAUAAGCACCGGCUAACUUCGUG